AACACAUUGCAGAGACACCUCAGUGUCACUCUCUCACCACAUCAUGACUCAGCACGCUCUCCUGUUCAUGGCAGCCCUGCUGGGAUCCUUUCCCCUGCCCACAGACACUGUUGUAGCUCAUCUACAAACACACGAAGCUUCGUCAGGAGCAACAGAGCAGGUACGGUGUGGCCUGCUCAGGUAAAAUGUAUUUUACGUGAUUGGUCAUGUAUUCAUCACAUGUUCACAUCUGUCUCUUAUUGUUCUACAGAGUAACGUUUACAUGCCACUACUCUGCUCACCCCCCCCUGUAUCCAUAUCUCCAUCCUCCUCAGUUCACACUCUCAAACCUGCUGAUAUCGCUGCUGUUUACACACUGGGAAUGCCACCUUCACAGAGGUAGGAACAGGUUAAUGAUAAACCACUGGGUGCAGAACACUGGAUUUGGCUAUUUUUCAGAUUGCGAACUAAAUGGAUAUUCACAAUGAUACACAGGACGCACAGUAU
rnacentral:lncRNA from 1 species